AGUCAUAAGUUAUUUGAAAGAAUUCGUAUAACUGAUUCAACACUGUGCUAAAAGAAAUGAAGGCGUUCGUAGUAUUCGCAUUGUUCGUUCUUGUGAUAAUGCAGUUACAUAUAUCAUCAGGGGUUCCACAAUCUAAUGAUUACUAUUCAGGAAGAAGAGCUGAUGUUCCGAUGAGAAAAAUGUAUCCGCAGUCUAAUGAUUACUAUUCAUCAAGAAGAUAUCCUGAACCAUCACCGGUAUCAAUGGAAUAUCCGUACAGAUCGCAAACAAAAUGUUGCCAAUGUGAGUGAUGGCAUCUUUGACCAGGAAUACGAGCAUCCUUAUGCACAUUAUUUGAAAUAAAGAAAUCUUGAAAACCAAC